UACAGAGGUCCCAAGCGUUGUUCGGAUUCACUGGGCGUAAAGGGUGCGUAGGUGGCCAGGUAAGUUCGAUGUGAAAUCUCCGAGCUUAACUCGGAAAGUGCAUUGAAUACUAUCUGGCUAGAGGGUUGGAGGGGGGACUGGAAUUCUCGGUGUAGCAGUGAAAUGCGUAGAUAUCGAGAGGAACACCAGUGGCGAAGGCGAGUCCCUGGACAACUCCUGACACUGAGGCACGAAAGCUAGGGGAGCAAACAGG
rnacentral:rRNA from 1 species